GGAGUAGCUGCCGAGGCUUACAUUCUUACCUUAUUUGCUAUGAAGUAUAGACAACGUGUACUUGGUUUGAUACUUGUUUCACCUCUAUGCAAAGAACCAUCUUGGAC